rnacentral:lncRNA from 1 species
AACACAGUCUUCGCAAUGGUAGCGGACCUGGAGCGCAGAAACUACGGAGCGCUUGUCGUGGAAGUUGAGUUCCACCAGGUAGCGUGCCUAGACCGCAGUAACCACGGAGCGCUUGUCCUGGAAGUCAAGUUUCACCAGGUAGCGGACCUGGAGCGCAGAAACCACGGUGCACUUGUCCCGGAAGUCGACUUUCAUCAGGUAUUGGACCUCGAGCGCAGAAACUACGGAGCGCUUGUUCCUGAAGUCGAGUUGCACCAGGAAGUGCACCCGAAGCGCAGGAUCCAGGAGGUAGAGAACCCGGUACUGGAAAUCUGCGGAGCGCGAUUCUCAUACGUCCACUCUACUGCGCGGUUGUUUCCGGACUAAGGAAUUCGGCUAACUGAUUUUCGUCCUCGACGAUUACUAUAGAUUGAUGACGUCAAGAAAAAUAAAAUUUUUGGUGACGUCACUUUCCGAACAUCCGAACUUGGGUUUUGAACUUUAAUACUGUGUACGAUGUAUGAUAUGAUGUAUGAUGUAUGAUGUAUGAUGAUGCUUGAUGAUAUGAUAUGAUGUAUAAUGAUUUUAGUUUUUACAUUUCAGUCAAGAAAUACGCAGUUUAACAUUGCUGCCGAUCGCAGUCUUAAGCGGCUAAGCCCUUCGAUGGCCAGCCGUUGACUUAAGAUAUAUUCUUCAGUUAACGGGUCAGCUAGUAACGCUGCCGUUCUGCGACAGUGGGAUGACAAAAAUUUUUGCUCGUACCUUUCAAAUGUGUUUUAAAAUACACUCGAAGAUUUAAGAA